rnacentral:rRNA from 1 species
UACAGAGGUCUCAAGCGUUGUUCGGAUUCAUUGGGCGUAAAGGGUGCGUAGGCGGCGCGGUAAGUCGGGUGUGAAAUCUCGGAGCUUAACUCCGAAACUGCAUUCGAUACUGCCGUGCUUGAGGACUGGAGAGGAGACUGGAAUUCAUGGUGUAGCAGUGAAAUGCGUAGAGAUCAUGAGGAAGACCAGUGGCGAAGGCGGGUCUCUGGACAGUUCCUGACGCUGAGGCACGAAGGCCAGGGGGAGCAAACGGG